rnacentral:rRNA from 1 species
UACGUAGGGGGCUAGCGUUGUCCGGAUUUAUUGGGCGUAAAGAGCGUGUAGGCGGCCAGGUAGGUCUGCUGUGAAAACUCGAGGCUCAACCUCGAGACGUCGGCGGAAACCAUCUGGCUAGAGUCCGGAAGAGGAGAGUGGAAUUCCUGGUGUAGCGGUGAAAUGCGCAGAUAUCAGGAAGAACACCAAUGGCGAAAGCAGCUUUCUGGGACGGUACUGACGCUGAGACGCGAAAGCGUGGGGGAGCGAACAGG